rnacentral:rRNA from 1 species
GGUUAACCGUAUAGGGGAGCCGAAGGGAAACCGAGUCUUAACUGGGCGUUAAGUUGCAGGGUAUAGACCCGAAACCCGGUGAUCUAGCCAUGGGCAGGUUGAAGGUUGGGUAACACUAACUGGAGGACCGAACCGACUAAUGUUGAAAAAUUAGCGGAUGACUUGUGGCUGGGGGUGAAAGGCCAAUCAAACCGGGAGAUAGCUGGUUCUCCCCGAAAGCUAUUUAGGUAGCGCCUCGUGAACUCAUCUUCGGGGGUAGAGCACUGUUUCGGCUAGGGGGUCAUCCCGACUUACCAACCCGAUGCAAACUGCGAAUACCGAAGAAUGUUAUCACGGGAGACACACGGCGGGUGCUAACGUCCGUCGUGAAGAGGGAAACAACCCAGACCGCCAGCUAAGGUCCCAAAGUCAUGGUUAAGUGGGAAACGAUGUGGGAAGGCACAGACAGCCAGGAUGUUGGCUUAGAAGCAGCCAUCAUUUAAAGAAAGCGUAAUAGCUCACUGGUCGAGUCGGCCUGCGCGGAAGAUGUAACGGGGCUAAACCAUGCACCGAAGCUGCGGCAGCGACACUAUGUGUUGUUGGGUAGGGGAGCGUUCUGUAAGCCGUUGAAGGUGUAUCGUGAGGUAUGCUGGAGGUAUCAGAAGUGCGAAUGCUGACAUAAGUAACGAUAAUGCGGGUGAAAAACCCGCACGCCGGAAGACCAAGGGUUCCUGUCCAACGUUAAUCGGGGCAGGGUGAGUCGACCCCUAAGGCGAGGCCGAAAGGCGUAGUCGAUGGGAAACAGGUUAAUAUUCCUGUACUUGGUGUUACUGCGAAGGGGGGACGGAGAAGGCUAUGUUAGCCGGGCGACGGUUGUCCCGGUUUAAGCAUGUAGGCGGAGGUUCCAGGUAAAUCCGGUACCUUUUUAACGCUGAGGUGUGAUGACGAGGCACUACGGUGCUGAAGUAACAAAUGCCCUGCUUCCAGGAAAAGCCUCUAAGCAUCAGGUAACACGAAAUCGUACCCCAAACCGACACAGGUGGUCAGGUAGAGAAUACCAAGGCGCUUGAGAGAACUCGGGUGAAGGAACUAGGCAAAAUGGUGCCGUAACUUCGGGAGAAGGCACGCUGAUAUGUAGGUGAAGUGAUUUACUCAUGGAGCUGAAAUCAGUCGAAGAUACCAGCUGGCUGCAACUGUUUAUUAAAAACACAGCACUGUGCAAACACGAAAGUGGACGUAUACGGUGUGACGCCUGCCCGGUGCCGGAAGGUUAAUUGAUGGGGUUAUCCGUAAGGAGAAGCUCUUGAUCGAAGCCCCGGUAAACGGCGGCCGUAACUAUAACGGUCCUAAGGUAGCGAAAUUCCUUGUCGGGUAAGUUCCGACCUGCACGAAUGGCGUAAUGAUGGCCAGGCUGUCUCCACCCGAGACUCAGUGAAAUUGAACUCGCUGUGAAGAUGCAGUGUACCCGCGGCAAGACGGAAAGACCCCGUGAACCUUUACUAUAGCUUGACACUGAACACUGGUCCUUGAUGUGUAGGAUAGGUGGGAGGCUUUGAAGUGUGGACGCCAGUCUGCAUGGAGCCAUCCUUGAAAUACCACCCUUUAAUGGCUGGUGUUCUAACGUGGACCCGU